rnacentral:rRNA from 1 species
UACGUAGGGUGCAAGCGUUAAUCGGAAUUACUGGGCGUAAAGCGUGCGCAGGCGGUUUUGUAAGACCGAUGUGAAAUCCCCGGGCUUAACCUGGGAACUGCAUUGGUGACUGCAAGGCUUGAGUGUGUCAGAGGGAGGUGGAAUUCCGCGUGUAGCAGUGAAAUGCGUAGAUAUGCGGAGGAACACCGAUGGCGAAGGCAGCCUCCUGGGAUAACACUGACGCUCAUGCGCGAAAGCGUGGGGAGCAAACAGG